CAAAACCCGUAGUAAGCCUUACCAACCCGAAAAACCAGAUAUACAAUUAUCAAAAUAUAAAGUAGUCAUAAUUGUCUUGCAUAAUAAAUCAUCAUAUUACCAACAUGAGUCAAAAAUCUUUACAUAAAUUUUAAAAUUUCCUACUGCGGAUACUCUAGAGUAAUAAUGACAAGUAUAGAAGUACAAGAUAAUUACAAAAGUCCGAAGAAGCAGAAGUCGGACUGUCAAAUGUGUGAUGGCGAAGAAGGUCUUUAACUGCCACCUGAAAAAAAAUUUACAACUGAGACUGUCAGUCUCGAGAGUGAGUCAAAAUCAAAUAAUCUAAGGACUAUUGCAACCUUCACAUGAUAUAUUAAUUAUUCAAAACAAUAUACCAAUUUCUGAAUAUAAUUGCAAUCAUAAUAUAAAAUCAUACACCGUAAUAAUAAAAUGAUAAAAGGAGAGAGUAUAAAUAAAUAAAGAUAUUUUUACUUUCACGGGACGUGUGGCUAAUUAGAACCCUAACCCCAAAUUCUAACAGCCAUUUUGGCUCUCUUAAUCCAAUAAGACUGGCGCCCCGAGAGCAAUGCUCGACUAGGGACCUUACCUCCAGUCUGGUCACUUAAGUAUCCAAAUAAGAAAUCUAGUAGCCAUUCGGCUCUCUUAAUCCAAUAAGACUGGCGCCCCGAGAGCAAUGCUCGACCAGGGACCUUACCUCCAGUCUGGUCACUUAAAUAUCCAAAUAAGCCGGCGCCCCGAGAGCAAUGCUCGACCAGGGACCUUACCUCCGGCAAUUUACACAAAUCAGCCCAGAGAGCCAUGCUCGACCAGGGCAAACCCAUAAAUAUCUUAUUACAUGUCCAUGAUCAUUACCGGUGUGCACGCGGUCCUGAUAUAACCCAUCAGGCGGCAUGUUCUACAAGCCACAUUUCCCAAUUCGCAAUCAUCACAUAUAAUAAAUAUCAUUAUCUGAUGAACUCAACCAACACAUAUCGAAAUAAAGAUUAAAGAUUUAAGGUAAAACAACGUGCAAUUUGUGAGGGGAAAAAUAAUAACGUUUAUCUUAUUAUAACAUACUAAUAAUAAUAUUUAUAUUAUUUCAAAUAUUAAUAAUCAAGUGAAAUCAUUUAUUUUGCGAUACUAAUAAUCAUAUUAAGCACAAAUUCUAAAUAGCAUAUUAAAAUCAGACUAGCAAUAGCGCAAAGAUUAAAUGACUUUAACUCACAGAUUUGAUGCGUUCCACAGUCCGCUCCUACGCCUCGGGUGGAGCUGGCAGGAAGGCUGAAUUAUCUAAUAACAAAAGACAUACAAUUAAUAGACAUUCGAAAAUUUUUCCUAGACUUAGACCCUAAGGUCGACUGCCUAGAAUUAAAUUGGACUCGAGGAUUCUGCCGAAAAUUUGACAGAACCUCCC
rnacentral:lncRNA from 1 species